rnacentral:rRNA from 72 species
CACACGACUCUCGGCAACGGAUAUCUCGGCUCUCGCAUCGAUGAAGAACGUAGCGAAAUGCGAUACCUGGUGUGAAUUGCAGAAUCCCGCGAACCAUCGAGUCUUUGAACGCAAGUUGCGCCCGAGGCCAUUCGGCCGAGGGCACGCCUGCCUGGGCGUCACG